GUAGGUGAACCUGCGGAAGGAUCAUUAACACGUUUUUAACGUCUCCAAACAACCCCGUGAACUUGUAUUCCUCCCUCUUCAACGUAUGGUGUACAUAGCAAUAUAAUGCCCUGUCUGUGGACAAAACAAUUGGAGAACAUUUGAGUUUUGGCUCGAUGCUGAUCCUUGGGGCAGCUAAUAACGCUUGGUGGCCUUUGAGCCGUCGCAUACGUCGUCGUAGGCAUUUUCCCAUCCACACACAUUCUAACACAUUUCCGUCCAUCCUCUAUCAGUGACUUAAUUGACACUCGUAUGAUGCACUGGCCAUUUGACUAAUGCUGAUCCGUCUGGACUGAGAUCUCGGUCUUGGACCCAGUACUGAUCUGAGUUAUGUAACUAAGCACAACUCUUAGCAACGGAUAUCUUGGUUCUC
rnacentral:misc_RNA from 1 species